AGGAACAGGUGCUAAUACCGGAUAAGAAAGCAGAUCGCAUGAUCAGCUUUUUAAAAGGCGGCGUAAGCUGUCGCUGUGGGGAUGGGCCCCGCGGUGCAUUAGCUAGUUGGUAAAGGUAAAAGGGCUUACCAAGGCGAUGAUGCAUAGCCGAGUUGAGAGACUGAUCGGCCACAUUGGGACUGAGACACGGCCCAAACUCCUACGGGAGGCAGCAGUAGGGAAUCUUCCACAAUGGACGCAAGUCUGAUGGAGCAACGCCGCGUGAGUGAAGAAGGUUUUCGGAUCGUAAAGCUCUGUUGUUGGUGAAGAAGGAUAGAGGUAGUAACUGGCCUUUAUUUGACGGUAAUCAACCAGAAAGUCACGGGCUAACUACGUGCCAGCAGCCGCGGUAAAU
rnacentral:rRNA from 1 species